UAUUAAAAACUUCAUCCAUUUGUACUGUUAAAAAUGAGUGUGAGUAGCGGAAUAACCAGAUAAUGACAUAUGAUGUACCACGUGUACCUCAUGUUGAUAUAUAAGGACCAAUUUUUAACAGCAAAAAUGGUUGAAAAUUUUAACA
rfam:Gossypium hirsutum cultivar TM-1 chromosome 22, whole genome shotgun sequence